rnacentral:rRNA from 1 species
CAGCAGCCGCGGUAAUACGGGGGGUGCAAGCGUUGUUCGGAAUUAUUGGGCGUAAAGAGCGUGUAGGCGGUUUGUUAAGUCUGUUGUGAAAGCCCUGGGCUCAACCCAGGAAGUGCACUGGAUACUGGCAGACUUGAAUACGGGAGAGGGUAGUGGAAUUCCUAGUGUAGGAGUGAAAUCCGUAGAUAUUAGGAGGAACACCGGUGGCGAAGGCGGCUACCUGGACCGAUAUUGACGCUGAGACGCGAAAGCGUGGGUAGCAAACAGGAUUAGAUACCCUGGUAGUCCACGCCGUAAACGAUGAGAACUAGGUGUUGCGGGUAUUGACCCCUGCAGUGCCGCAGCUAACGCAUUAAGUUCUCCGCCUGGGAAGUACGGUCGCAAGACUAAAACUCAAAGGAAUUGACGG